ACGGGAGGCAGCAGUGGGGAAUAUUGCACAAUGGGGGGAACCCUGAUGCAGCCAUGCCGCGUGAAUGAAGAAGGCCUUCGGGUUGUAAAGUUCUUUCGGUGAUGAGGAAGGGUGGUGUUUUAAUAGAGCACUACAUUGACGUUAGUCACAGAAGAAGCACCGGCUAACUCCGUGCCAGCAGCCGCGGUAAUACGGAGGGUGCGAGCGUUAAUCGGAAUGACUGGGCGUAAAGGGCACGCAGGCGGUGACUUAAGUGAG
rnacentral:rRNA from 1 species